rnacentral:rRNA from 1 species
GGAUGAACGCUGGCGGCGUGCCUAAUACAUGCAAGUCGAGCGAACAGACGAGGAGCUUGCUCCUUUGACGUUAGCGGCGGACGGGUGAGUAACACGUGGGUAACCUACCUAUAAGACUGGGAUAACUUCGGGAAACCGGAGCUAAUACCGGAUAAUAUUUCGAACCGCAUGGUUCGAUAGUGAAAGAUGGCUUUGCUAUCACUUAUAGAUGGACCUGCGCCGUAUUAGCUAGUUGGUAAGGUAACGGCUUACCAAGGCAACGAUACGUAGCCGACCUGAGAGGGUGAUCGGCCACACUGGAACUGAGACACGGUCCAGACUCCUACGGGAGGCAGCAGUAGGGAAUCUUCCGCAAUGGGCGAAAGCCUGACGGAGCAACGCCGCGUGAGUGAUGAAGGUCUUCGGAUCGUAAAACUCUGUUAUUAGGGAAGAACAAACGUGUAAGUAACUGUGCACGUCUUGACGGUACCUAAUCAGAAAGCCACGGCUAACUACGUG